rnacentral:rRNA from 1 species
UACGAAGGGGGCUAGCGUUGCUCGGAAUCACUGGGCGUAAAGCGUGCGUAGACGGUUAUGUAAGUCGGGUGUGAAAGCCCCGGGCUCAACCUGGGAAUGCCAUUCGAGACUGCAUAGCUAGGGUGCGGAAGAGGGAAGCGGAAUUUCCGGUGUAGCGGUGAAAUGCGUAGAUAUCGGAAGGAACACCAGUGGCGAAAGCGGCUUCCUGGUCCAGCACCGACGUCAGGCACGAAAGCGUGGGGAGCAAACAGG